CGGAGGACAUCUUCUUCAGGGUGCCAAUAAGUCAAAUAGUAAUUAUAAUGAAAUAUUACCUAAUUAUCAUGUAAAUGCUUAUGUGAUUGAAGUUUAUCUAACCCUUGCCAUGGAGGAGUUCAGAAUUCAUGCGAUAAUAAUCACAAGGUACUGAAACUUUAUAGAUAUUAGGAAGAAGUCUUCCACUGUGUAACUUAAAUCUAUCACAGUAAAUUUCUAGACAUGAACUAGGUGUAACAUUUUUCGAAAAGGUAAAUAAAAAUAAGCUUGUGGCAGGUCAUUACUGAAACUGAAGACAAUAGUCCUAGAGGGAAAAUUCAAUCAAUGACUAAAGCUUUUUAGACCCAGUUAUGAGUUUUGUACACAGCAUUCUUAGAGAGGCAGUAGUCAUUUAUUUGAAAUAUGAGUUUAUGAAGGGAGAUAAGCAUGUUCAAACCUUUUUAGGUAGAAAUGGCCAGGUUGAUGUGUACUGGGACAAAUGAGAGCAUAAAACGACAUUGUAGCAGAUUUUUAAACAACAUCAGGUUAACAUUACCUAUUUCCUGGAUCUUUCUUCCAUGCAAAGUCCCCUCAUAUAUCUGUGUCUCUGCCUGCCUAUUUCAGUCUUUGAGAACCCACAGCACCACACAACAAAGGAUAAUGAUGGAGGUGAAGCAUGUGAAAGGUUAUGUGAACGUAUUUUCAAAAUCCAAGGUGCGCAGCAACCGUUUAUCGUGUGAAUGCCUUUCUUUCGCCUAACAGAAAGCCAAGUCCAUGCUGGUUGUCCAUAUUCUGAGGGACAUAGCAGAAUAAAAGAAGACAAUAGGAUUCA
rnacentral:lncRNA from 1 species